UUUAAGUGCAAUCAUGAGUUUUCGUGUCCAACUUUGAUCGUCCAUCUUAUUUGAAAAUUUUUUAUAAUUAAUAUUUUUUAUGAGAUGAUAAAAACAUGAAUAUUACUUUUCUCGUGACUUAUGUUUUUAAUUUUUUUAAAAAAAAUUUAAAUAAGACGGACGAUCAAAUUUGGGCGCGGAAAACCAUGGCUGAGGUUAAA
rfam:Oryza sativa Japonica Group DNA, chromosome 3, cultivar: Nipponbare, complete sequence.